UUGAAGUGUCAACUAAAUACUAUUCUUAAAAAUGAAAUUUUUUACUUGUUACAUAAUUUUAUUAUUGAGUGUCAUCGUCUGUGUCAUGGGCAAGCCGCCAAGAAUAAAGUUUCCGAAAAUAAAUCCUUGUGGAGGAAAUAUUGCGGACUGUGUGGAUAUUGCCUUAAAUGUAAUUGAAUCUAUAGAAAGUCUUACUUAAAAAUUGUUUAUUAUAUCAAAGUUUUGUUAAGUAAAAAAUUGAAUUCUAUAGUUGUGACUGUGAAACAGCAAUAUCGUAGAAAAGAAACGUCUAUAAUAUGAAAAACUUUGUAAUUAUUACUUCAACAUUAUGAAUAUUUUAAAAUAAAAUUAUAUAUCAUUUAUUGCAA